rnacentral:rRNA from 1 species
AUUGAACGCUGGCGGCAGGCCUAACACAUGCAAGUCGAACGGUAACAGGAAGCAGCUUGCUGCUUCGCUGACGAGUGGCGGACGGGUGAGUAAUGUCUGGGAAACUGCCUGAUGGAGGGGGAUAACUACUGGAAACGGUAGCUAAUACCGCAUAACGUCGCAAGACCAAAGAGGGGGACCUUAGGGCCUCUUGCCAUCGGAUGUGCCCAGAUGGGAUUAGCUAGUAGGUGGGGUAACGGCUCACCUAGGCGACGAUCCCUAGCUGGUCUGAGAGGAUGACCAGCCACACUGGAACUGAGACACGGUCCAGACUCCUACGGGAGGCAGCAGUAGGGAAUAUUGCACAAUGGGCGCAAGCCUGAUGCAGCCAUGCCGCGUGUAUGAAGAAGGCCUUCGGGUUGUAAAGUACUUUCAGCGGGGAGGAAGGGAGUAAAGUUAAUACCUUUGCUCAUUGACGUUACCCGCAGAAGAAGCACCGGCUAACUCCGUG